rnacentral:lncRNA from 1 species
GCCAUUGUCCUGAAUUCACCUACUAAUUUUACCCUCAGAGAAAGAGAGAGUCUUUGGAGAGUUGUGAGGAGAUAAGUGACAUAAACUGGCAUGUUCUGAAAGAAUCACUCUGGAUGCUGUGUGGAGAAAACACUGAAAAGAAUUCUAGAGUGAAAGUUUCAUGAAUAUAAGAAGCAAGACAAGGAAGUGGCUUAUGCUUAAGGCCUUAAAGGCAACCACUGUGACAAUCCAGCCAUUCUCUGGAGAAUUCAGCAGAAAGCCAGUUGGAAGGUUUGAAAUGGAAAUUACAAGCGCAAUAUUACAGAAGUGUGGAUUUUAGUUACAAUGUCUCUAUGAGAAAGUCUAAAAGUUAAACAUAAGCAAAACAACAAAAACAUCUAAAUACCAGACACUAUCCUCAGAAAUUAGAUUUGAAAAAUGAGCUUCAUUUUCGAAGAACAUAUUGGGGAGAAUAAUUGACUCCAUUCAAGUGUUCGCUCCUGUUUCAAUCAACUAUGGCUGAAGAGUGAGGAGACAUUUGGAAUAAAUAUGGCUUCUGGGGGCCCAUUCCUAUGGAUCAGCAGCUGGCUUCUGGAGGCCCAUUCCUGUGAAUCGUCGAUCUCAUAGAAGAUAAUAUUGUUAGAAGGCUUACCUCAUUGAUGCUGAACAUCCUAAAAAGCUUCUGCUGCUUUGAGUCACUGAAAAAGACCAAGAAACAUGAAUUUAAAAAAAAAUUUCAAAUGUUAUAAAAUAAAUAAUAUGAACUCAUUAUACCUACAAUGAAUAAUUUAAAUUCUUCUUUGGUAGUCCAGGAAAGGCAAGGCAGGGAGGAUCCCUUG